UACGAAGGGACCUAGCGUAGUUCGGAAUUACUGGUGCUUAAAGAGUUCGUAGGUGGUUGAAAAAGUUAGUGGUGAAAUCCCAGAGCUUAACUCUGGAACUGCCAUUAAAACUUUUCAGCUAGAGUAUGAUAGAGGAAAGCAGAAUUUCUAGUGUAGAGGUGAAAUUCGUAGAUAUUAGAAAGAAUACCAAUUGCGAAGGCAGCUUUCUGGAUCAUUACUGACACUGAGGAACGAAAGCAUGGGUAGCGAAGAGGAUUAGAUACCCUCGUAGUCCAUGCCGUAAACGAUGUGUGUUAGACGUUGGAAAUUUAUUUUCAGUGUCGCAGCGAAAGCGAUAAACACACCGCCUGGGGAGUACGACCGCAAGGUUAAAACUCAAAUGAAUUGACGGGGACCCGCACAAGUAGUGGAGCAUGUGGUUUAAUUCGAAGAUACGCGCAGAACCUUACCAACACUUGACAUGUUCGUCGCGACUCUAAGAGAUUAGAGUUUUCGGUUCGGCCGGACGAAACACAGGUGCUGCAUGGCUGUCGUCAGCUCGUGUCGUGAGAUGUUGGGUUAAGUCCCGCAACGAGCGCAACCCUCACUUUUAGUUGCCAUCAUUAAGUUGGGCACUCUGAAAGAACUGCCAGUGAUAAGCUGGAGGAAGGUGGGGAUGACGUCAAGUCCUCAUGGCCCUUACGUGUUGGGCUACACACGUGCUACAAUGGUAUCUACAACAGGAAGCAAGACUGCGAAGUUAAGCAAAUCCCUAAAAGAUACCUCAGUUCGGAUUGCACUCUGCAACUCGAGUGCAUGAAGCUGGAAUUACUAGUAAUCGUGGAUCAGCGUGCCACGGUGAAUGCGUUCCCGGGUCU
rnacentral:rRNA from 1 species